GAGAAACAGAAGAAAGGAGAGAGAGAGAGAGAGAGAGAGAGAGUGACAAGAGGAAGUGCGCUAACUCAAUUGGUCUCUUGGCAAACGCCGCUUUAUGGGUCACUAAGCCGACUAGUGGCCAUUGCCAGACCUUGGCUUUGUCACUUUUCCCUAUCCCUCGCUCUCUCCCUCUCUCUCUCUCUCUCGUCUCUUUCUCCUCCUC
rnacentral:miRNA from 1 species